AAUAUUAAUUCUUCAAUGUAAUCUUACAAACAUAGUUUGAAAUAUAUAUAUAGUACCUAUUAAUUUUGUGAAAGCUAAGUAAUGAAAUAUUUCUAAAAAUUUAAUAUUAUUUAACGCAAAUUUAAAAUAAAUAAAACCUUUAAGAGACCUACCUUUUUAAUAUUCUGCGAUUAUUUAUUAAUUUAAAUUGACUAAUAUUUUAGCACAUUAAAUUUAAUCUCGGAAAUAAGUAUGCCACAUUGUUAGCAUAGAGAAGGGUGGUGACGUUUGUGACAGAGUAAUUUUCCAUAUUACUGUUGGCUGCCCUGACAUACUUCCCCCCCCCCCCCAAACGGAUUUGUUUACUUCCUUUCUUAAAGGGUUACAGAAUUGUUAGCAGAAAACCAUUUUGUUGCUUCAGAGCGUGUAAAUUAGUGAAGAUAUGUGAGCUUCAUAACUUCUACUUUGAAUAAAAAAGAUUUAAAAACAUGCCGUUAAAAUAUAAACGGAAAACGGAUCGCUCACCUCCCGCCUUUGAUACAAUUCAGAAUGCCAUCAGAGAAGUGGUGGAGGAAAAGAUGGCUUUGCGGCAAACUGCUCUCAAGUAUGGCAUUUCCAAGUCAUCGCUAUCGAGGUAUGUGAUGAAUAGAGAUAAAUUGCCUGGAGCUGAUGGAAAAUAUCAGUCCAAGCACACUUCCACACAAAUCUUCACAACUCAUGAAGAAAAUCUUUUGGUAAAGUAUGUCCUUACAUCUUCCCGGAUGCAUUAAUGUCUCUUGACCAAUAUAACUCGACAAUUAGCAUACCAGUUUGCUGUGGCAAACGAAAAGAAAAUACCAACAAAUUGGGAGCUCACUAAAUUGGCAGGACUAGACUGGCUGAGGUUUUGUUUUGCUCGGAACCCUGAACUUUCUGUACGCAAACCAGAGGCUAUUAGUCUGUCAAGCGCCACAAGUUUCAAUAAAAAAAUGUUGGGGACUUUUUUUAAUAGUUUGAGUGAUGUCUACAAAAGGUACAGAUUUGGACCUAAGUAAAUUCAUUUAUAAUAUGAAUGAAACAGCUGUGAAAACAGUUCAAAAUACCUGCAAAGUAAUAGCUCAGAAAGGAUCCAAGCAAGUUGGGCAAAUGGCCUCAGCAGAAAGAGGACUGGGAAACUUCAUCCCACCAUUCAUGUGUGUAGCUGUAAAUGCAGUGGGAAAUUUCAUCCCACCAUUCUAUGUAUUUCCUAGGGUACAUUUUAAGGAAAAUAUAAUGUUUAAAGGAGCUACACCUGGGUCUAGUGAUGCAGCUAAUCCAUCAGGCUGGAUGUCCACAGAAAUAUUCCCCAUGUUCCUAAAGCAUUUUGUCAAGCACGUAAAACCCUCUCUUGCAAAUCCAAUCCUGUUGAUUCUGUAUAAUCAUGAGAGUCAUGUCUCAGUAAAUUCAAUUGACUAUGCAAAGGAAAAUGGCAUUACACUUUUGACACUUCCUCCACAUUGUAGCAAUAAGUUACAUCCCUUAGACGUGAGUGUUUUCGGUCCCUUCAAGGGAUACUACAACCGUGCAUAGGACUCAUGGAUGGUAUCAAACCCUGGUAAAACAGUGUCCGACUUUUGAAGUAGCCCAGCUGGCAGGUCAAGCACUUGCUCUGUCAUUCACACCAAAAAACAUCCAAGCAGGAUUUUCAAAAUGUGGAAUAUAUCCGUUAAAUAGGGACACAUUUACUGACGAUGACUUUCUGUGCUCCUCGGUGACUGACCGUCCAGAACAUAUGUCUACGACAGAAUCAAAUGAAAAUAUUCCACAGGUAUCUCAUCAUAGGCCUACAUCUCCCGAUGAAACUGCAACUGAUCCAUGUGCAAGUACCAACUUUCAAUCUAGUCCAACUAACUCGCCAAACAGAACAACAAAGCAGAUUGUCACUCCAGAACAACUCAAACCAUACCCAAAAUCUGGCCCAAGGAAACUACAAAAUACUACUAGGAAACUAGGAAGAACACAAAUUUUGACAGACACACCAGUGAAAGCUGAGGUAAAAGCAGCCGCGAAAAGAAA